rnacentral:siRNA from 1 species
AGAUAGAUGAUGUUGUUUACG